rnacentral:lncRNA from 1 species
CUAACAGUGUAAAAGCAUUCCUAUUUCUCCAUAGCCUUGUCAGCAUAUCUUGUUUCUUGACUUUUUAACAAUGGCCACACUGGGGAUUACAGUUUGAAAUGAGAUUUGAGUGGGGACACAAAUGCAAACCAUAUUGUAGGUUAUCUCUUCCUCUAGAAUACACAGAAAAGAACUGGAGUCUAGAAUCAUAGGUCCUUAAGAACAGGGACUCUUGUUCAUUCUUAUAUUUCAAGAACUUUAAAUAAAGAUUAGCUUUAUUUAAAUAAAUUAGUUUCAAGUUAAUGAAUUUUGUCUGUGUGUAUUUAAUAUGACACCUCCCAAAAAUAACAUCAUAAUUCAGCAUACGAGAGAAACCAAUGCUUUCAAGCAGUUGUCAUUAAAAUACACAAGGCUUAUAAGGCAGGUCUUCUGGAAAACUCUGUAUGAAAUUAAUUUGUGUUAAUAAAUUAGUUUUAUCUAGGAUUCUGUUCUUACAUUAUGUGCAUUUUUCUUCCAGAAUACAGCACUACUAAUUAUACCUCCUUUUUAUAUACUUGAAAAAAACUUUUUAUUUUAUUUUAUUUUAAAGUUCUGGGUUACAUAUCCAGAGUGUGCAGGUUUGUUGCAUAGGUAUUAUACAUGUGUCAUGGUGGUUUGCUGCACCUAUCAACUGGUCAUCUAGUUUUUAAGCCCUACAUGCACUAGGUAUUUGUCCUAAUGCUCUCACUCCCCUUGCCCAACACCCUGACAGGCCCCAUUGUGUGAUGUUCCCCUCCCUGUGUCCAUGUGUUCUCAUUGUUCAACUCCCACUUAUGAGUGAGAAAAUGUGGUGUUUGCUUUUCUGUUCCCAUGAUAGUUUGCUGAGAAUGAUGGCUUCCUGUUUCAUCCAUGUACCUGCAAAGGACAUGAACCCAUUCUUUUUUAUGACUGCAUAGUAUUCCAUUGUGUAUAUGUGCCACAUUUUCUUUAUCCAGUCUAUCAUUGAUGGGCAUUUGGGUUGGUUCCAAGUCUUUGUUCUUGUAAAUAGUUCUGCAAUAAACAUACGUGUGCCUUUAUCUUUAUCUUGUAAAACAAAAAUAACCCUUGUAUGCAACGAUCUAGAUUUGGUCUUUAGAAAUGUGGCCACAUUUUUAUUUCAUCAGACAGAAAUAAUUGAAAUACAAUGGAACAAAAUAACUUCAACCACAUAAAGUUCAUAAAAUUAAAUGGGCUCAUCCUGUUCACAUUCAGAGGAGAAUCACUUGUGGGAAUGGAAAAAGCAAAAAAGACAGAAUGAAAUUCAGUUCAAUAUCCACUGUAAGCUGGCACGUCCAACUUUAAUACUAAUAACUAAAUGUGUAACCCACUGAAGUAUGUUUAUACUUUUAGCAAAAAUAUUGCCAUUUCUUUUAAGGAAUGGCACAUCCAAUAGCAAAAGCACUGAAAAUUUUCUCCUUAUGGCCAGGAGAGUUUAUAGACAGGAGAGGCAGUCUUCCUAGUCUGGUGUUCAGGUGAAGGUGCUCACACUGCAGCCUGGAGCUGAGAGAUCAUUGUGAUCAGCUGUGAUGAUGAUGAGCAGUUGUUAUUGGUGGUGGUUGUGGUGCAGUGGUGGUGGUUGUUAUUGUUGUUGUUGGUAGGGUGAUUGUGGGCUGUUACUUUUCAUGGUGUUGAUGGUGUUAAGGAGUAUGAUGGUGAUGGUGGUGGUAGUUGUGGUGAAGGUGGUGGUGGUGUUAGCUCAGCCUUAUUCCUGGCAUUUCCUGUCUAUGUCUACUAGAUUGUUAUAGUUGGAAGGAACUGGAUAUCCCUUGGAUUAUCUAAGCUAAGGAAAGGGCUAGGAGAUAUGACGAGUGGCGCUAGUAUUGUUGGUAGGUAUUCAAAAAAUGGGAGGAAUCAAGAAACUUUGACUUCAUGCCUAGACAUCUUGGGAACCCACACAAAGUUGUACAAGCAUUUUCUCUGAAACACAGGCCAGUUGUUCAGACAGGCCAUGGAAAACUAAAGAAUGUGGUUAAGUAUGUCAGAAUCACCAAAAUAUCUUCCCAAAUUUUACCAGGAACUCCCCAUUCCACCUAGAAUGAAAUACACGUGCCUCUGCAUGCUCUCCUCGGUCCCACAUGGUCUGUGGUCAUUCCAUCAUCUCUCAGGCUCAUCUCAGUCCACUGGCUCUUUUCUCAUUCUGCUGUAGCCAUGUGGACUUUCUCAGUAUCAACCUCACUAAAGCCAAGCAAGGGUCUUGCAGUGGUGGAAGGCUAUUCCCCAAGUUGCCACUCUCCAGUCUCAUGCUAAGGUCCUUAUUUCACAGAUCUCCUCCUCAGUGAGUCCUCUAAUCACCACUCUUGUUAAAGUCUCCUUCCUCAGGCACUCACCUCUAUACAUCUUAUGUUCAGCACUGUUCUCAUCUAAAAUUAUCAAUGAGUUUUCUUUGUAAUUAACCAGAGCCAGUACAGUCUGCAAAUGCAGGUAUUUCACAACCUGAAUGAAAAAAAAUUGAAAAAAAAAGGCAAGCCCUACUAAUGAAAGAAUGUGACUGUAGCCAGCUCUUAAACAAUUGGCUAUAGCAUGACUGUGAAAAAAAAUGGACAUUUAGCUAACAGAGUAAGUAAAACUUGGUAUGUGCAUAGCAGCUGCUUUUUGUGAAAGUUGUGUGGCUAGACCAAAAAAGUGCAACGUGUAAAGUAAAAGAUGUGACUAGAUAUAAUAAUUAUGCAGUGAUUAAGAGAGAAAAACCAUAACAACUAUUGCAUCCAGUGAAAUCUAGAUUUAAUUUAAAAAACUGCAAAUGCAUAGUAAUAUAUUUUAUAGUUAUACAUUUAUAGCUACUAAAAGCAUUAUCAAGUGAUUUCCCACAGAAAACAACUUUGUUUCUAUGAGUCUGAAAUGCUGUCUGAACUCCCUUUUCCUCCAUUAAAAAAUGAAUCUUAUAAUUUUACUUUUAUAAUUUUAUUUUGCUAUAAUUUCACAUUUACAGAAAAAUUUCAAGAUUAGUACAAAGAACUUCUGUAUACCCUUUACCCAAGAUCAGAAAUUGUUUAUUUUGCCCCAUUUACUUUUUCUUUCUCCCUCUCAUAUGAAUAUACACAUAUGUUUAUAUGUAUUAUUUUGGAACCAUUUUAAAUCAAUUUCGAGACAUAGUGCCCCAUUACCUCUAAAUACUUCAUUGUGUAUUGUCUAACAUAACCACAAUGAUCAAAAUCAGAAAAUUUUGUUUUGAUAAAAUAUUGUAUGAUUUAUAACUCAUUGAAAUUUUUCAAGUGUCUUAGUAGUAGCAUUUAUAUAUAUAU